rnacentral:rRNA from 1 species
GACGAACGCUGGCGGCGUGCUUAACACAUGCAAGUCGAACGGAAAGGCCCUGCUUUUGUUGGGUGCUCGAUUGGCGAACGGGUGAGUAACACGUGAGUAACCUGCCCUUGACUUUGGGAUAACUUCAGGAAACUGGGGCUAAUACCGGAUAGGAGCUCCUGCUGCAUGGUGGGGGUUGGAAAGUGUCGGCGGUUGUGGCUGGAUUCGCGGCUUAUCAGCUUGUUGGUGGGGUAGUGGCGUCCCAAGGCUUUGACGGGUAGCCGGCCUGAGAGGGUGACCGGCCACAUUGGGACUGAGAGACGGAGCAGAAUCCUACGGGAGGCAGCAGUGGGGAAUAUUGCACAAUGGGCGGAAGCGUGAUGCAGCAACGCCGCGUGCGGGAUGACGGCCUUCGGGUUGUAAACCGCUUUCGCCUGUGACGAAGAGUGAGUGACGGUAAUGGGUAAAGAAGCACCGGCUAACUACGUG